CGGCCAGACUCCUACGGGAGGCAGCAGUGGGGAAUCUUCCGCAAUGGGCGAAAGCCUGACGGAGCAACGCCGCGUGAUCGAAUGAAGGCCUUCGGGUUGUAAAGAUCUGUUGACAGGGACGAAUAAGCAAUGCGAAUAGUUUUGUGUAUGACGGUACCUGUUUAGAAAGCUCCGGCUAACUACGUGCCAGCAGCCGCGGUAAUACGUAGGGAGCAAGCGUUGUCCGGAAUUACUGGGCGUAAAGGGCGCGUAGACGGCAUAGCAAGUCUGAAGUGAAAGCCCAAGGCUCAACCAUGGGACUGCUUUGGAAACUGUUAAGCUAGAGUGCUGGAGAGGUAAGCGGAAUUCCUAGUGUAGCGGUGAAAUGCGUAGAUAUUAGGAGGAACACCAGUGGCGAAGGCGGCUUACUGGACUGUAACUGACGUUGAGGCUCGAAAGCGUGGGGAGCAAACAGGAUUAGAUACCCGGGUACG
rnacentral:rRNA from 1 species